rnacentral:lncRNA from 1 species
GUCUCACUGUAUCACCCAGGCUGGUCUCAAACUUCUGUGCUCAAGUGAUCCUCCCACUUCAGCCUCCCAAAGUGCUGGGAUUACAGGCAUUAGCAACCAUGCCUAGCUGAGACUCUUUAAUUCUUCAGAUAUACCUCUCUUAGGACACUUGUUACAUAUUGCUUUGUUUUUAGUACUUUGAAUAUGUUUUAUCCAUAUUGUUAGACUCUAAGCUUGUUUGUCUUAUAUCUUUGUAUUUGCUGGAUAAUUUCCUCUAUUUUAUACAUAGUAAGAAAUCAACAUAUACUUAAUAAGUAUAUAUUAUUGACUUAAUAAGUCAAACUGCUGUGAGUGGGGAAGAGGAAUCUUCAGCCUGCUCACCACAAAUCAACAAAAGCUACGGGAAGCAUGGGGGGAUGGUACUGAUUUUCUCUGAGGUCUACAACUACAUUGAAGAUAUCCCACCAGGUCCCCUUCUUAUACCCCUCAGAUACUGCUAAUCAGUCCUAGCACUCUUUCUCUUUGAACCUGGACAAGGUGUCUGACCCUUCUCAACACAGCAUCAGACAGCCACCUCUAUUGACUGAAGUUGACAAUGGAGAAUAAAACUCAUUACCCCUGCUGAAUCCAGGGGCCCCUUUUUACAGAUGAGAAAAGUUCCAGAAAGACCCAGAGACAUAAUCAGGUACCUGCGUCGAGCUCUGCACAGGUGACUGGGACUGCAACCCCGGAGACCACUGUGUCAGCAAUGGGUGUGGCCAUGAGUGUGUUGCAGGGUAAGGACAGAUGAAGAGUUAUCUUAAGGAUCAUCUUUCCCUAAGAUCGUCAUCCCUUCCUGGAGUUCCUAUCUUCCAAGAUGUGACUGUCUGGAGUUCCUUGACUAGGAAGAUGGAUGAAAACAGCAAGCCUGUGGAUGGAGACUACAGGGGAUAUGGGAGGCAGGGAAGAGGGGUUGUUUCUUUUAAUAAAUCAUCAUUGUUA